rnacentral:sRNA from 1 species
UAUUCUGCCCCACGGGGAAGGAUGAGAAGCUUCGACUAAGGUUCGACUCGAGCGAAGCGAGAGAACGUUGCCGCAGGCAACGGCCCGAAGGGCGAGGCGCUUUAGCGCCG